UACGUAGGGGGCGAGCGUUGUCCGGAAUCAUUGGGCGUAAAGCGCGUGUAGGCGGCCCGGUAAGUCCGCUGUGAAAGUCCAGGGCUCAACCCUGGGAUGCCGGUGGAUACUGUCGGGCUCGAGUCCGGAAGAGGCGAGUGGAAUUCCUGGUGUAGCGGUGAAAUGCGCAGAUAUCAGGAGGAACACCGGUGGCGAAGGCGGGACUCUGGGCCGAUACUGACGCUGAGGAGCGAAAGCGUGGGGAGCGAACAGG
rnacentral:rRNA from 1 species